rnacentral:rRNA from 1 species
AUUGAACGCUGGCGGCAGGCCUAACACAUGCAAGUCGGACGGUAGCACAGAGAAGCUUGCUCCUUGGGUGACGAGUGGCGGACGGGUGAGUAAUGUCUGGGGAUCUGCCCGAUAGAGGGGGAUAACCACUGGAAACGGUGGCUAAUACCGCAUAACGUCGCAAGACCAAAGAGGGGGACCUUCGGGCCUCUCACUAUCGGAUGAACCCAGAUGGGAUUAACUAGUAGGCGGGGUAAUGUCCCACCUAGGCGACGAUCCCUAGCUGGUCUGAGAGGCUACCCAGCAGCACUGGAAAUGAGCAACGGUCCAGACUCCUACGGGGGGCAGCAGUGGGGAAUAUUGCACAAUGGGCGCAAGCCUGAUGCAGCCAUGCCGCGUGUAUCAAGAAUGCCUUCGGGUUGUAAAGUACUUUCAGCGGGGAGGAAGGCGGUGAGGUUAAUAACCUCGCCGAUUGACGUUACCCGCAGAAGAAGCACCGGCUAACUCCGUGCCAGCCGCCGCCGUAA